rnacentral:lncRNA from 1 species
UGCAGCCUGGUACACAAUCUGUGUACAAUUAGCAAUAAACUGAGGAAACAACUUCUUGUACUAAUAACCGUGUGCACGUAGCAAAAUUCACCAGCUUUUCCCCUUCACCAAGCAAUGGCAGUGUGUGAACCUGACCCCUACUCGACGCGUGUGCUUGAAGCAGUACUGAUCACGACAGCAAGGGGACAGCAAAAAAAAACCCACGUCCUUCUGAUCCUCGAUUUCCAACCCAGAGCAGAACAACAGCCACAGCGAUAGAACAACGGCCAGGGAGACACGUCCACCGACUCGAAUCGGGCGUUGUUUAGUUCUAUUUUUUUUUCAAAAUAGGCAUUAUAGAAAUUUCGUUUGUAUUUAAUGAAUAUUGUUUAAUUAUAGACUAAUUAGACUUAAAAGAUUCGUUUCGCAAAUUUUAGAUAAAUUAUAUAAUUAUUUAUUUUUUUUAUCUUUAUUUAAUGUUUUAUAUAUGUACCGCAAGAUUCGAUGUGACGUAAAAUUUAAAAAAUUUUGUAAAAUUUUUUGGCACUAAACAAGGCCUCGAUGACCGAAACAGUGGCGCUGGAAAUCACGAGCAGGAGAUUGAUACUGGCGGCAGUGUCACAGAAGCAGGGAAUAAAACCCUUUUUUUUUCAAUCUUGUGUCUGACUUAUACCACUUGUUAGAAAAUAAUGUGAAUAUAGAUAUGUAAGUUGCAUUUGGGUAUGCACAUCUGAAAGUAUAUUCUUAAUACAGACGAUCAUUUUGCACAUCUA